ensembl:lncRNA
CAUUAGGGACUUUAGGGAGGUGUCCGUAGCUACCAGGUUAUAGACCAGCGCGCUGGCCCUAGGUGCAGAGCACGCUGCUGGUGGAGGAGUUGGGGUCCGCCUAGGGUUGCGGGGCUUAUUCAAAUACCGCCUGCUGCUGCUGUGAUUCGCAGGGACUCGGCCUCCAUAUGACGCCUAAAGGAGCCUGUUUGUGUGCUGUGGCCACGUUCUGCUGUGACUGGAUCUUGUCUUCUGCCUGGGUCCUCGAUUUCCGUCCGGCUGAAUUUGGGGACAACACUGCUUGGCGCAGACAGAUCAAAUGAGACUUCAAAGAAGCAUAUCCUGAACAAGCUAUUCAAUCAACCAAAGGCCGGGGCAGCAGUACGCCAGCAAGACGCAUCUUCUCCCCGCCUAGAAGUCCUGAGAAAUCGAGGAUCUCUCCUAAAACAUUCAUAUACAAGAUAUGUGCAAUCAAGCUUCCAGCACUUGGUACAAAGCUCAUGAUGCCUAACCCAGUGAUCCGGAGCAGAUCUUUGAAUCAGCUGUCACUUCUAUAGAAUGGGAUUUUCCCCUUCUUCCUCUUUAACCAGCGUUGGAAACUGCCUAUGGCUUUACACAUCUCAGUAGAGGAAGGCUAAAGAAUCUUACGUGAGAAUGAAGCAAUUUACAAUGCAAAUAGAGGCCUGUGAAGAGCUGGACGCUGCUGCUCUACCCCCAACAGCUUGCUGCACCUUAGUCGCUGGUCUUAUUUUCCGAUACUAAUAGAUGAAUUGUUGGCUAACGAUGCUGGAGAUUACUUGCUGGAAGGGGAAAGAAAAAGUUUGGAAUAAAUUCUGAAUGCAACAGAUCUCAUUUGGAUGUUCUAGACGCAUACACCCAGACAGAAACCAGGUCAUGUUUACAUGAAAGGAGAAUCUUAAACGCGGCGAAUAUCCUUCCCUGAGGACUAUGCUUCCCCCAAACCAACGAGGAUCCGGAUCUGGAGUCCAGCCAGAGGAAGACAGCCUUGUGAGGGAAGCGAGUUGUUAUCUUUGGUUAUCUAGCUGUAUGAGUGUAUUGGUCUUCAUAAAGCUAGAUAACCGAAAGUAAAAACUCCUUCAAGAUCACCGAGGAGUGCUCCGGAAAGAAAGACUACAGUCAAGAGACAGUAAAAACCAGAAAGGUCAGGAAUGCUUAUUGAAUCUAACUUUUUUUUUCUUAUGGUUGAAAGUGGGAUGCAAGGAAACUUAAGUGACACAUAUACUGAAAUCCUAAGGGGCCAGGUUUUGAGGGGGUUGUACAACUGGAGAGGAGAAUUGUGUAGUAUUUUUAUGGGCGAAGAUGCAUGUAUUUUCUAUAUUGUUCUAUUUUGAAGCAAACGUUUACUUAUGGGAUUUUUUUUCUUAGAAAGCUGUUAUAGCGAUGCCUGGUACCUCGUUUUAAAAAAUGAUUUCAUAAUUAUGUAGAUUGGGCAGUUCCCAUCUGAGGCUCCUCCCCCAAGUUUGAAGCUUGUGCCUGGAAACUUUCUAUGUAUUUGGUGUGUACAUCAAAUUCUGUGAAGUUAGACUUUCAGAAAGCUUAUACUGGGAGGUUAAUAAUUUAUCUCUACCGAGGACUUAGAGCUAGAAGGGAAAAGGGGUGGGGGCAAAGGCUGAUUUUUAUUCUUCUAUUCAAAAUACAAGGACAGAUGCUUCUCUGUUCCAAGAGGGUUUCCUUGAGGAAGCUACUGAAGCAGAAAGACAUGAUGGAGACGAGAUCGCCUCCCCUCUUGUCAAAGUGUUAAAAAAAUGUUCUGUCUUACUCUGCGCCUAGCAUUGGAAAUGAAAGUGACAUUUACGCCACAACCCACGUGUGCGCCUCCUCUCUUUUUGUUUAAGGAUGAUCAGGUCUAUCCAGGAAACAGCUCUGGCAUCCCAAACUGAAAUAAUUAGGACGUAUAUAGACCUGACAAAAAUGGAAGGGGGUGGGGAAUCUGAGGGUCUGUCUUGCCUAAUUGAUUCCGCUAAACGGAAAGCAGGAGAUGUGAACGGCAGGACGCUCCGAUUCCCACGCUCGGGGGCAAGUGGUAAAGCCUGGCCGGCAGCCUAUGACAGACAGCCCUGUUGGGGGGUAGGGGGAUGAAAAAAACAUCAAGCGCACACACACCAUACUCAUCUCCAUCCUUAAGAAAGUAAAGGCAUUUCCCACCCACAGCCAUCUGCAGCCUUCCAAAUGGCAACACCAACUGGUUGGUGACUGCUACGCGUACUGUCUCUGUUAUUUUUUUUUAAACCUCUGUUUAAUCUGGCCAUGAUUAAAUUUGGUUUUCUCCUUUGGUUGAAAUUUUCAUUAUUUAAGGAAAGCAAGUGCCAAGACCAUCCCAGGACUGCAUGCCCUCCUCAGAGAAGUCCUCGGUACGUGGUUAGGGCCUGUGACCACCUUUGGCUUUUGUUUUGGCUGUGUUAUAUUUAAAAGUCACAUCUCAUAGCCCUCCUUACUAUGACUUACUUCAUUGGGUUGUUUACUUCCUUGUGUGACACACAAGGACUUGACCUACUGAUGCUGAUCUACAUUCUGAAAAUAAAGCUGGAAAGGCAUCAGCCUAUAGAAAGUUGGUUGCAACCACAGUAUGUUAAAGAACUUGUUUUAAAAUAGUCCUAGCAGAAUGUGCUUUUUUUCUUUUCUUCCUCCUCCUCCUCCUCCUCUCCCUCCUCCUCCUCCUCCCUCUUCACCUAAAAGUAACUAGUCCCAGCAUAAACUUUGAGGUUUUGAGGAACCAUGGUAGUCCUUUUUUGAAAUUCCUUAUAUUCUGUUACAUUUUAUCAGGCAAACAUUUGUAUAGGCAUUUGCACAUAAAUAUAAGGAUGGCAAUGAAAAAAAAAAUCCCCAAACUGCCUGUUAUCUUCCACAUGGCCUAAAUUACUGAGACUCCCAAAUGCAUACUUUUUCUUCAGGGACAGUACAUUUUUCUUUACAGCUUCAACCUCUUACAGGGUUGAGACUAGAGGAACCAGUAAAGCUACUGGUACUCCCAUUUAGAAAAGCCAAGAGACUUUAAUAACGUAAAUUCUCAAUUUGGCUGCUGAACAUGUGCCAAAGUUUUACGGCUGUAGUGACUGUCGAGAAGACCCUUGUUUAUUUACCUUUAAAGCACUGUUUGUGCAAACAAGCCUUCAUUGUUAAGUGCCUGUAUUCCUUUCAUUUGCUUCUUGUCCAGGGGUGCUAUUUACCUAGAACCAUUGUCUACUACAAUUAACAUUUACAUUACAAAGUGUGUGCUUUUCCUUCUCAAGGAGGUUCAAUUAAGGCAAUAAGAUGUUUGCUGGGGAAACCUAUUGUUUACUCAAAGCACUCAAUGGGGUCAAAUUACUGAAGUUUUUGCCUACAUCUUGGGUUGUUUAUGUAAAUAUGUUAACUAUAACAUCUAAGGAAAAUAAACAAUAUUAAAAUUAUGUGUUCGCCAUUGUCAUAUCCAACUUGCUUUGUAUCAUACUAAUGUUACAUAACUUAUCGAUCAAUAAAAAUACAUUUCAAUGUUAUUUUCAUUUUACUUUUUGCUGUUCCACUGCUCCUGCUGCAACAUGUCCCAAAUUUUCUUUUU